UGGGGAAUAUUGCACAAUGGGGGAAACCCUGAUGCAGCGACGCCGCGUGAACGAAGAAGGUAUUCGUAUCGUAAAGUUCUGUCCUAUGGGAAGAUAAUGACAGUACCAUAGAGGAAAGCUCCGGCUAAAUACGUGCCAGCAGCCGCGGUAAUACGUAUGGAGCGAGCGUUGUCCGGAAUUAUUGGGCGUAAAGGGUACGCAGGCGGUUUAAUAAGUCGAAUGUUAAAGAUCGGGGCUCAACCCCGCAAAGCAUUGGAAACUGAUAAACUUGAGUAGUGGAGAGGAAAGUGGAAUUCCUAGUGUAGUGGUGAAAUACGUAGAUAUUAGGAGGAAUACCAGUAGCGAAGGCGACUUUCUGGACACAAACUGACGCUAAGGUACGAAAGCGUGGGGAGCAAACAGG
rnacentral:rRNA from 1 species